rnacentral:rRNA from 1 species
GUCCACGCCGUAAACGAUGGAUACUAGCUGUUCGGUUGUAAGACUGAGUGGCUAAGCGAAAGUUAUAAGUAUCCCACCUGGGGAGUACGGGCGCAAGCCUGAAACUCAAAGGAAUUGACGGGGGCCCGCACAAGCGGUGGAGCAUGUGGUUUAAUUCGAUGAUACGCGAGGAACCUUACCAGGGCUUAAAUGUAGUUUGACCGAUUUGGAAACAGAUCUUUCGCAAGACAAAUUACAAGGUGCUGCAUGGUUGUCGU